rnacentral:rRNA from 1 species
AGUGAACGCUGGCGGUAGGCCUAACACAUGCAAGUCGAACGGCAGCACAGUAAGAGCUUGCUCUUACGGGUGGCGAGUGGCGGACGGGUGAGGAAUACAUCGGAAUCUACUUUUUCGUGGGGGAUAACGUAGGGAAACUUACGCUAAUACCGCAUACGACCUACGGGUGAAAGCAGGGGAUCUUCGGACCUUGCGCGAUUGAAUGAGCCGAUGUCGGAUUAGCUAGUUGGCGGGGUAAAGGCCCACCAGGGCGACGAUCCGUAGCUGGUCUGAGAGGAUGAUCAGCCACACUGGAACUGAGAAACGGUCCAGACUCCUACGGGAGGCAGCAGUGGGGAAUAUUGGACAAUGGGCGCAAGCCUGAUCCAGCCAUACCGCGUGGGUGAAGAAGGCCUUCGGGUUGUAAAGCCCUUUUGUUGGGAAAGAAAAGCAGCAGGUUAAUACCCCGCUGUUCUGACGGUACCCAAAGAAUAAGCACCGGCUAACUUCGUG